UACGUAGGGUGCAAGCGUUGUCCGGAAUUAUUGGGCGUAAAGAGCUCGUAGGCGGCUUGUCACGUCGGUCUGAUGAAAACCUGGGGCUCAACCCCGGGCCUGCAGCCGAUACGGGCAAGCUAGAAUCGGGUAGGGGAGACUGGAAUUCCUGGUGGUAGCGGUGAAAUGCGCAGAUAUCAGGAGGAACACCGGUGGCGAAGGCGGGUCUCU
rnacentral:rRNA from 1 species